GUGAUGUAGGUUCUUUUGAUAUUUUAAACUUGUAGCUUUAAAGACGUUUCAUCCUUGCAUAGUUCAGUACUUUCACUUAUCCACUCGUUAACUACCAGCAUAAUGUCCUCCCACCUCCUAGGGAUCUUUUACUUGCACGAACACCACAACAUUCAGCACACUCGUGCAAGCUUACUCUUCUUGUUUUAUACGCGCUCAGUCCCAGUAGUAAUUGUAUGUAGGUGAUCAAACCUAUUUAACACCUUCCUAGACAGUCUUAGAAUAUAAUAAUCCCUUUUCCAAAGACAGGUACGCACCUUUCAUAGCCCUGCCAUUCACGUAAACGUAAAAAAUAUAGUCUUUGUAACUUCGCACUGUUGCAAACUGAACGAUUUCCUACCUGCUGUUUUUGUCUCCAUCAUAGGAUAUUGCUGUAUACUAAUUAUGUAGUGAUGUGAACUAGGAUUCCCUCGUUUGAUCUCAAAGUGGCUGGACGAUUUAUAUAACCAUGAUAAUUUUCAAAAGCAUUAGAACAGAAAGAGGUUUGGAUUAACUUGUAUUCAAGAAGCUGGAUUAAAUUAAUCACUGUCUAUGACCACAUUGUUGUCCACGUUUCAUCCUGCGUUUAAGAUACAUGAUAACUUUUGCAGGACUGUCGCCAAAUCAUUCCAUAGAAUACAAGCGAGUUUAUAUAUUGCUCUGUUGUAAAUUAUAAUAAUAAUCAGAGCAAUUAUUAUUGUUUACUGAGCGUCUCAUAUUAAAAAAAAAUGUCUACGUGCCUAUUAUGGGAAGGUUUUAGACAUCACGUCACCGUUGCAAGGGCAAAAUUCAAAGUAUUAUAAUGAAUCAUAAUUCCCUUUUUCUCACUAUAAGGUGGUUUACCGAUGUAUCUGCUUUACGCCACGCUAGGACAUUAGAUUCGAAAGCAUGAAUAUACAAGGGAAGUAAGAAAAAUAACAAGAGAUGAAGGAACCUAUUUCUGGCUCGGAGGGAAAAACACUUGGUCACGCACUGCGCCAUUUGAAUCUCACGCGGCGGUGUGAGGGCAAGGGGCGUUGGUGGUGGUGGUGGUGACGCUGGGGGAGGCAGGGAUUUGUGUUACAUUGCUUUGGUCGGCACUGGUAAGUCUUGCCACACACUCUCCUAAUAGUGAUCAGUGCAUAUUCCUGGCGGUGGUGGUGGUGUGAUCACAUUGUUUUGGCAGGGGCGCUGGGGAAGGUGGGAUUGGUGUUACAUUGUUUUAGUCAACACUGGCCAGUCUUGCCACACACUCUCCCAAUAGCGAUCAGUGUUUGCAUAUUCCCGGCAGCUUCUUCCUCCAUCAAGCAGCACCAGAGAGACACAGCUACUUAAGCUGCUGAUGAAUUGCCAUCGCGUUCUAGUGAGCCAGCUGUUCAAGAGAUGAGACCUACUGCGGAGUAAAAUGCUUACCUGCUAAUCUUCAUCUUCACCGUUCAGGAAUACGUUCUUUCAAGCUGCACGGUGGCAUACCUGUCCGGCUGGAUCUUGAUUGGGCGAGGCUAUCAACCAGGAGUUCAGUUGGUCAGGAGAGAGGCAUCAGGAACAUGAGUGCUGUCGUCAGGAGACGUUGCUACAAGUACCACCACCUCUUCCUAUCUUUGGGGAAAUAGUAAGGCAUAGAUGAGACAGUUGACUGAAACACCUGAAUCACCUGAAGACAUCACUACCACUGUCACCUUCUUUGGUUUCUUUUUGAUCCUGAACUCUGCUGAAAUGUCUACUUGCUGCACAGCUUGUCUGAAUCCUCAUGGAUGAGCAGCAGUAACAUUUAUGGACAGUACUGAGGAUAUGGCAUCAUAUGAAGAAGCCAGCAUUUUUCAUAGAUGUUUCAGUGGCAAUGAAGACUUUCCUUACUGAGUGACUGGCAUUGAGAUGUUUAACAACCAUCUCACUAGAAGUUAUACCUUCCAAUGCAGGAAGUUCAUCACUCAAGGAUGAUCCAGGGAGAAAUGAGCCUCUCGAGUCUUCUGAGUCAGUGCAUCAUCUUACAGCACGCACUGAGCAGCACUUUGACCUCCAGCCUGAAUUCUUUCUCCUGUAAUGUAAAAUGGUGAUGCUGGGAGAAAUUAACCUGUUGAGUCUUCUGGGUCAGUGCAUCACCUGAUAACGUGCACUGAGCAGCACUGUGACCUUGCUGAGGUCUUUCUCCUAUGCUAUGUUCCCAACAAGACAGGAUGUGAAUGCUGUAUAUGGGUGUCACUCUUGUGUAAAUGUCUCUAUCCCCUCUCCUGCUGCUGCUGCUGGUCUGCCUCAGUUAAGACACCUUGUAAACAACAUUAUGAGUUUUGCUAUUUGUGCUGUAACACUAAAAUAAAGUUAGAAAAGUCA